rnacentral:misc_RNA from 1 species
AAGACUAUAGACCUGCGGAGUACCUGCGGAAGGAUCAUUAACGUAUCUAUGAUGGGGUGCGGAGCGCCCUGCUCCGGUCGAACGGCCGUGCAGCGGGUGCGCCGCCCCCGUCCCACCUCACAAACCCACUGUGAACAUUCACCGGUGGAGGGGGCUCGGUCUGCGCCGUGUCCCCGAUGCCGAAUACCCAAACUCCAGUUGCAAAGAACGUCGUGCGGGCUCGGUGCCGCCUAAAACAUG